GAAAAAAGAAACAUUUUUAUGUACAAAUGUAAAUAUUUAGAUGAUUGGAAUGUUCAAUCAUGUGCGAACCAAUACGGUCUUUAAAACGAUGUGACAAUGUUUUGCGCGAAGUAUACAUAAAAUAUUACGUAGAGCUGGACCAAUAAAAAAAAAGUGAUUGACUUCGAAUGACGGCCGAUUAUUGAAAACUUUUAUCUCUACUUGAAGACCGGAAAAAAGGCAAGAAAACAAAAAAAAAAACAACGCUCGUUGAAAACGCUACAUUUUUGAAAUGGGCCUGCUAUGUUGAACUUGUAUUUAUUAUAUGUAUAACGACUGUCUGAUCAAAAUCAGCAGAGACCUAUAGGUGUUUUUGGCGCGCGCGAAUAGCGAGAGGUUUUCUACUGCAAGCUGGACCAAACCUGCGUGACUUCCCGCGUGACUCUAAUAAUUUUUACAGUUAUUAUUAUUAUUUUUUUUAUUAUUUUAAAAAUUUUUAUUUUUAAUUAUCCUAUGGACGUGGAUACUUUGUGUUCGAUUAUGCAAUUGUUUCAUGUAAAAAAAAUAUAGAGAAUACAGAAGGAAAAAAAACAUGGAAAUCUGCUUGCGUAUAACCGAUGAUAAUGAUGAACGAGCUUUUCGUUAAAAAUGUGACGUGCUUACAAUAACUGCGGUUUAUAUAUCUGAAUUAUAUUAUGCCCCAUUUUUCCCAAAGCUUUCUUGCGUUAUGAUUAUUCUCUCACAAAGUGAAAAAAAAAAACAAAAAAAAAAAAAAAAAAAAAAAAAAAGAGGAAACGCAGCCGCGGCACACACAACUCUGUGACAGAGUUACGCUCCCGAAAAAAUUGACUGAAACAGACAGAAAUAAAAAAAAUAAUAAUAAAAAAACAAGAUGGAGAAACGAAUUUCGCUUCGUAUCAUUCAAUUAUACGGUAUUAAUUAAUUAAUAUAUUGAGGAUAGUCGAUAAGUAGACAAAAACAAAAUGAAUUUAUUAAUGAAAUAAAUACUUAAUAAACGUAUCUACGGUUCGACUUUAAUAAAAUCAAUUAUCAUGCAGAA